UAUGGAAGUGUUAUGGAAGUAAUGAUGGAAGAACAAACAAAUGUAUGCUAAAUAACAUGUUCUGUGUUAUGAGAGUUGGUGUGAACUAGUGUAAUAAGUUAGUAGUAUCUUAAGUUCCGGUGGUAUGAAGGUUAAGUAAAUGAGGGGAGUGUAAUCGCCAGCUGUGCCGCCUCACAAGGUCCUGUGAGGCUGGCGGUGAGAGAUUAAUAUGAGGCUUGUAAAACACCAAAGAAACUAAGUUAAUUAGAAUAGAGAUUAAGGAAACUGAAUUCAUUACAGCAGUUAAUUGCAGUAGUGAAGCUGUGUGAGAAGGACUAGCUGUGGAGAGCUUAGCUGUAGAGAGGUAGUGAGGGUCGUGCUUGUGGUAAAGUUGAUGACAUGGCGUGUAGGGUAGAUAAGAUACAUGGGUCACCCAGGAACUAUCGCUGAAUUAAGGGUAAGACGGGCAGGCGUGAGGUGCCGAGGGCCAGCAGGAACGAAGCCCGGAGGGACAGAUUCCUUUGCACCGCCACCGAGUUAGGGUGUGACUACUCCAGGAAAGAUCGGACCUCUACAAUACAGACGCAGGUGUUGCUUGGUGACAGGCCUCCUUAAGACCACAAACACGUUUGACCGAAUGCAAUAAACGAUUCACGUCACCGUGUGGGUCUAAAAUCCUUUAGCUGCCUUCGAGCAGCUACACACACACAAUUCUAGAAGGUAAUCGCAGUGUCGCUGCUGCCCCAUCCCGCCCCUGCCCAGGACCCUCCCCUACCACCAACCAUCACGCCAAGCGUCAAGCCGCCGCGAUGGUUGCGGCGAGUGACAUGUUGCUAUAAAUGAUUCUGUGUUUUCAAUAUGUGGAGUUUCAUCUGCAUUCUGAUCACAUUAUCAUGUUCACGAGAGUUUUUCCUCUGUAAUGCAAUAAUAUAUUUCGGCAUUCAGUGAUUAACUGUUGAAGAUAGCGAGCAUAUGUAAAACAUGUUAUAAACUUUUUUUUUUUUUACAUCUUCACAGUUCAACUCGUCGUAAUACCAUUUUCCUUUUCGUUUUGUCAUUUUUUCUACAA